rnacentral:rRNA from 1 species
CGCGUAGGUGGUUUGUUAAGUUGGAUGUGAAAGCCCCGGGCUCAACCUGGGAACUGCAUCCAAAACUGGCAAGCUAGAGUACGGUAGAGGGUGGUGGAAUUUCCUGUGUAGCGGUGAAAUGCGUAGAUAUAGGAAGGAACACCAGUGGCGAAGGCGACCACCUGGACUGAUACUGACACUGAGGCACGAAAGCGUGGGGAAGCAAACA